rnacentral:rRNA from 1 species
CAGUAGCCGCGGGAAUACAAAGGGUGCAAGCGUUACUCGGAAUUACUGGGCGUAAAGCGUGCGUAGGUGGUGGUUUAAGUCCGUUGUGAAAGCCCUGGGCUCAACCUGGGAAUUGCAGUGGAUACUGGGUCACUAGAGUGUGGUAGAGGAUAGUGGAAUUUCCGGUGUAGCAGUGAAAUGCGUAGAGAUCGGAAGGAACAUCUGUGGCGAAGGCGACUAUCUGGGCCAACACUGUCACUGAGGCACGAAAGCGUGGGGAGCAAACAGGAUUAGAUACCCGCGUAGUCCCUGUCUCUUAUAC